rnacentral:rRNA from 1 species
GACGAACGCUGGCGGCGUGCUUAACACAUGCAAGUCGAACGAAGAGCGAUGGAAGCUUGCUUCUAUCAAUCUUAGCGGCGAACGGGUGAGUAACGCGUAAUCAGCCUGCCCUUCAGAGGGGGACAACAGUUGGAAACGACUGCUAAUACCGCAUACGAUCUAACCUCGGCAUCGAGGAUAGAUGAAAGGUGGCCUCUAUUUAUAAGCUAUCACUGAAGGAGGGGAUUGCGUCUGAUUAGCUAGUUGGAGGGGUAACGGCCCACCAAGGCGAUGAUCAGUAGCCGGUCUGAGAGGAUGAACGGCCUCAUUGGGACUGAGACACGGCCCAGACUCCUACGGGAGGCAGCAGUGGGGAAUCUUCCGCAAUGGACGAAAGUCUGACGGAGCAACGCCGCGUGAGUGGUGACGGCCUUCGGGUUGUAAAGCUCUGUUAAUCGGGACGAAAGGCCUUCUUGCGAAUAGUUAGAAGGAUUGACGGUACCGGAAUAGAAAGCCACGGCUAACUACGCGCCAGCAGCCGCGGUAAUACGUAGGUGGCAAGCGUUGUCCGGAAUUAUUGGGCGUAAAGCGCGCGCAGGCGGAUUGGUCAGUCUGUCUUAGAAGUUCGGGGCUUAACCCCGUGAUGGGAUGGAAACUGCCAAUCUAGAGUAUCGGAGAGGAAAGUGGAAUUCCUAGUGUAGCGGUGAAAUGCGCAGAUAUUAGGAAGAACACCAGUGGCGAAGGCGACUUUCUGGACGAAAACUGACGCUGAGGCGCGAAAGCCAGGGGAGCGAACAAGAUUAGAUACCCUGGUAGUCCACGCCGUAAACGAU